ACGCACGCUGGCGGCGUGCCUCAUACAUGCAAGUUGAGCGCUGAAGGUUGGUACUUGUACCGACUGGAUGAGCAGCGAACGGGUGAGUAACGCGUGGGGAAUCUGCCUUUGAGCGGGGGACAACAUUUGGAAACGAAUGCUAAUACCGCAUAAAAACUUUAAACACAAGUUUUAAGUUUGAAAGAUGCAAUUGCAUCACUCAAAGAUGAUCCCGCGUUGUAUUAGCUAGUUGGUGAGGUAAAGGCUCACCAAGGCGAUGAUACAUAGCCGACCUGAGAGGGUGAUCGGCCACAUUGGGACUGAGACACGGCCCAAACUCCUACGGGAGGCAGCAGUAGGGAAUCUUCGGCAAUGGACGAAAGUCUGACCGAGCAACGCCGCGUGAGUGAAGAAGGUUGUCGGAUCGUAAAACUCUGUUGGUAGAGAAGAACGUUGGUGAGAGUGGAAAGCUCAUCAGGUGACGGUAACUACCCAGAAAGGGACGGCUAACUACGUG
rnacentral:rRNA from 1 species